GUUUGCAGAUUAGAUUCACAUGAAGACUUAGCUCCCUCUCUGCUCCUGCUAAGUCUAAGGAAUGCAAAUUUUGCCUUUGCAAAAAUUAACAUCAUGCUCCUAGCAAGAAAGCAGGUGACAAGCUCAGCAGCUCUGCUUCAGUUUGUUUUUCUCCAUGGCAGGAACAUGUGCCCCUGAGUGGGCACUGUUAGUGGAAUCGGUAGGAACGCAAAUGCAAAGGCAGGGAGAUAAAGGUGAGUCAGGAAGGAGAAAGCGGCACUUGGGGGCAGAACAGAACACCAAAAAAGCCAGGUGAUGGAAACAAGGCAAACCAUCAUUAGCCCAAGUUAACAGAAGCAAGUUGACUCAUGCAGCCGUGGGAAAAGCUAAGGUUGCUUGCAUGGACAUGGUGAGUCAUCUAAUGUGUAAGUCAAGCUACCAGCUAUAAUUAAUCUUGUACGUGGACACAAAGUCGAGUAUUUUGAACAUGAGCUAAUGAGAUUGACCUGUAGGAUCAUGCAGCUCUAACAGCUGAGUAGGCAAAUCAAGGAUAAAGGAAAAAGCUGGGGGUGCCCUUGGGCAGUCCCUUUCUUUGUGGCCUGUGCAUUUGCCUGUGUGGUGCUCUCUGUGGGAUGCAGGCUGAGCUGGAUGAAAUUUGCCCCACCCACGCUGCCCUCAAGUUGCUCCUUAUUUAUAGUACUAUUCCAGGAGGAUGUCUUCUGCAGUACAAGUACGUGAACCUACUGCCAGACUGAGAUGUAAAUGCCAUUUCUGGUGUACAUUAAGAAGAUGUGAAAUAAUUCGCUCAAAGCCAUGGUUAUGGAGCAAAAUAUUAAAAAUAGACACAGUCUUGCUAUGUUGCCCAGGCUGGUCUUAA
ensembl:lncRNA